rnacentral:snoRNA from 1 species
AUCUUGGACAGACCUAGAGCAGUUAAUGCUGCUGCUAAGGUUUCCACUCUAGAGGCAAGAAAAAGAAGGUCCUCGUACUUUCUGUCUGUCUGGCUGGGGCAGCCAAGAUUGAAUGAAGAUUGAAUGA